AGUCGUAUGGUCUAAUGGUUAUGAUUUCUCGUUCACAGAUAUGUGUACCUUGCCCCGAGAAGGUUCCGUGUUCGAUCCACGGUACGACUA
rnacentral:tRNA from 1 species